rnacentral:rRNA from 1 species
AGUGAACGCUGGCGGUAGGCCUAACACAUGCAAGUCGAACGGCAGCACAGUAAGAGCUUGCUCUUACGGGUGGCGAGUGGCGGACGGGUGAGGAAUACAUCGGAAUCUACUUUUUCGUGGGGGAUAACGUAGGGAAACUUACGCUAAUACCGCAUACGACCUACGGGUGAAAGCAGGGGAUCUUCGGACCUUGCGCGAUUGAAUGAGCCGAUGUCGGAUUAGCUAGUUGGCGGGGUAAAGGCCCACCAAGGCGACGAUCCGUAGCUGGUCUGAGAGGAUGAUCAGCCACACUGGAACUGAGACACGGUCCAGACUCCUACGGGAGGCAGCAGUGGGGAAUAUUGGACAAUGGGCGCAAGCCUGACCCAGCCAUACCGCGUGGGUGAAGAAGGCCUUCGGGUUGUAAAGCCCUUUUGUUGGGAAGGAAAAGCAGCAGGUUAAUACCCCGCUGUUCUGACGGUACCCAAAGAAUAAGCACCGGCUAACUUCGUG